GAAAGGCCUACGACUCUGUUGAAUGGGAUUUUCUGAAAGCAGUACUUCUAGAAUUUGGAAUUCCAUACAAACUAGUCGUGCUAAUAAUGAAAUGUGUUAGCACUGUCAGCUACUCCAUUCUAAUAAAUGGAGGACUGACCAACAUAUUUGAAGCACGGAAAGGAUUAAGACAGGGAGAUCCAAUGUCCCCCUACCUAUUUGUCCUAGUUAUGGAAUAUCUAACUAGAUCUCUAAAGAAACUGAGCAGGAAUCCAGAUUUUAACUUCCAUCCAAAAUGCACCAACCUACAAAUCACACACAUAUGCUUUGCAGACGACCUUCUGAUGUGCUGUAGGUCCAGAUUUUAACUCCCAUCCAAAAUGCACCAACCUUCAAAUCACACACAUAUGCUUUGCAGACGACCUUCUGAUGUGCUGUAGGACAGAUGAAAUAUCCAUGAAACUACUGAUGAGGGAAUUUGAACAUUUCUCUAGUGUAUCAGGACUUAAAGCCAAUAUGGAUAAAAGUUCUAUAGAUAUAGCAGAUGUCUCAACUGAAUUCUAACAGAAUAUUUGUUCUGAACUAAACCUCACGGAGGGCACCUUCCCCUUCAAAUACCUAAGAGUUCCCAUAUCUACAAAAAAGCUCAAUAUAUCACUAUGUAUGCCCCUAGUGGAAAAGAUAGUGGACAGAAUCAGAAGCUGGACAUCCAAACUCUUAUCUUAUGCUGGUCGAAUACAACUUAUCAAGAGUAUCCUGUUUGAAAUGCAAACUUACUGGGCACUGAUAUUCCUCAUACCAAAAAAAAUCAUAAAACUGGUCAAUGGGAUUUGCAGAAAUUAUCUGUGGACUGGUAGUCAUGAAAAAGGCCGUAGGAACCCGAUUGCCUGGGAAACAAUGUGCAAACCAAAUGCAGGAGGAGGUUUGAACAUUAUUUCCUAUGAAAGGUGGAAUAAAGCAGCUCUGUCAAAACUCCUCUGGGCAUUAAUGGUAAAAAAAAGAUAAACUCUGGAUCAAAUGAAUCCACUGUCACUACAUAAAGAAGAAGGACCUUAAUACAAUGAAAAUCCCUAAACAAGCUAGCUGGCUCGUUAGGAAACUGAUUGGAGCAAGGGAAUGGUGGGCAAAUGAUNNN
rnacentral:lncRNA from 1 species